rnacentral:sRNA from 1 species
UGAACCUUUUAAAUAAAGUCCAGAGAGGCUUAGAAGGGUGUAGUACAUGAAAACAGGAAUGGAGUAAGGUAAGUCCAUACCUGAUUUCGAAAGUACAAAUUUUUUGCACCCUGAUCAUUUGGUCAGGGUAUUUUUUUA